GGCGGGGCCCCGCCGCGCGCCCCCGGGGCCGCCCCCGCUCAGCGAGCUGAGCCGGCACACGCGGAAACGCAGCUGUACAGACCCACGGCUAGGAAGGCGUGCGCACACCACACGCAGUUACACCCAGACCCGGUGAGUUAGGGAGCCAUGCUGUGGACACAUGCUCUGCUGGGAUCUUGAGUGUGCUUUGAAGAUGAAGAAAGUCCAGCCAAUGGCCUCAGGAUGCUCCUGGCCCAGAGCUGGUGUGGGGGAGAAGCAGGAUAAGCACAUCAGCAGAAAUACUUUGACCUUGAAGAGUCCUUGUGGAAAACUGGUUAUUUUGCUGAAGAGGCAUUGUAGCUAUCCUAUGACUUUGGCACACCCGAGGCUCUUGUAUUAUUGAGUAUUUCAAACAAUACAUAAUAAAGGACUGGAGUCAGGGGGCAAGCCAUGCUCUCCUUUGGUAAAACAUGUAAACUAGAUUAGGGACCUUGGUAUGAGGAAAUACUUUGUGUAACAAUCAAUAAAUACACCUUUGUAGGACUGUUGGGGUUCAGUUCAUCAGAGAGGCUGAAUCUGCCUGCUGCCACAGGCCUUAAAAUUUCA